AUGUCAGGCAUUACAAAAACAAAACAAGGGAUGGCAUCCAGGGAACCAGCGCUGAGCUGCCGUUGUCGGGGAAACCAGCCCCAGUCUGUCUCCUGCAGGGAAUUUGUUCUCAGAGCAGCUCUGCUGUGGAGCAGGCUGGGUUUGUGUCCCCCAGCUCAGCCCCCAGGUGCUGCAGGGCUGCUCCCCCAGAACUGCAUCCCCCCAGGGCUGCAUCCCCUCCCAGAGCUGCAUCCCCCCAAAGCUCCAUCCCCCAGAGCUGCAUCCCCCAGAGCAAAGCUCCAUCCCCCAGAGCUGCAUCCCCCAGAACUGCAUCCCCCAGAGCUGCAUCACCCAGAACUGCAUCCCCCAGAACUGCAUCACCCCAGAACUGCAUCCCCCAGAGCUGCAUCCCCCAGAGCUGCAUCCCCCCAAAGCUCCAUCCCCCAGAGCUGCAUCCCCCAGAACUGCAUCACCCCAGAACUGCAUCCCCCAGAGCUGCAUCCCCCAGAACUGCAUCCCCCAGAACUGCAUCCCCCUCCAGAGCUGCAUCCCCCAGAGCUGCAUCACCCCAGAACUGCAUCACCCCAGAACUGCAUCCCCCAGAACUGCAUCCCCCAGAGCUGCAUCCCCCAAAGCUCCAUCCCCCAGAGCUCUGUGUCCCAAAGCAGCUCUGUGAGCCCGGCCCCUCCAGCCCUUCCUCCGGGAGCACCUGCAGCUCUGGGCAGCUCUGGCAGCUCUGCAGGACCUCCAGCUCAGGGGGACCCCCAGCUCAGGGGGACCCCCAGGGCAGGACCCCCAGCUCUGCAGGAUACCCCAGCUGAGGGGGACCCCCAGGGCAGGACCUCCAGCUCAGGGGGACCCCUAGUUCAGGAGGACCCCCACAGCUCAGGGGGACCCCCCCCCCAGCUCAGGGGGACCCCCCCCCAGUUCAGGGGGACCCCAGCCCCACACCAGAAUCCCAGUUCCACCCACAGCCCCAUGGAGUUCGUGUCCCAAAAGGGAAAAAAUGUCCAAACUGGACAAUUCCAUUCCCCAAUUCCCAAACUCUUCCCCCGUGGCUGGGGCAGGGCUCAGUUGGGUUUUGCCCUUCAGGUUUUGUUCCCUGGUUUUCCUUCUCUUGCUAAAGCAGUUCUUUGUUACUGA
rnacentral:lncRNA from 1 species